CACAAUAAAAUAUGAAGGCCCUGUGCUUCGCGGCCAGUUGCGGAGCUGAAUUAUUUAUUACCCAUUGUCUUUUGCGCACUUGUUGUUUCCUGGGCGGGUUCGCCCGCCACCAGGACCAACAUCAUAAACCUUUUUUAUGCAGUUUCAAUCAGCGUCAGUAUAAACAAUGUAAUACAUUA
rnacentral:misc_RNA from 1 species